rnacentral:lncRNA from 1 species
UGGACCAAAUCCAGCCUGCGACCUGUUUUUUUGUAAAUAAAGUUUUAUUAGAACACAGCUGCGCUCAUUCGUUUACAUACAGUUGACUGCUGCUUUCACAGUACAGAGGCAGAAUUGAGCCGUUGUGUCAGAGACCAUCUGGCCUGCAUAGCCUGAAAUAUUUACUAUCUGGCCCUUGACAGCAGGUUUGCCGAGUUUCACUUGAAAUUGCUCUCUAAGUUGUGUCUGAGUGCAUGUGUCCUAAAAUAUGGUAAUAAUUGUUGAGAAUCAGUUUCACAUUUUCAUUUGACCAGAGUUUUAAAUUUUACUAUUUUGUAUUUGUUUUCUAUUAUCUCAAUAGCCGAUCAAUAAUCUCUCAAGAAGUAAUAUCAUUCACAAGUGGUUGGACCAUGAAUUGCUUGUUUGACUAUGGGCUGCCUUAUUCCUAACAGGGUUAACUCAGUCACUAUCCCGCUACUGGAUAAUUAGGUUGUUUGUAAAUGGCACUGAAAGGAACACCUUCAUACAUGAGAUUUUUCGUGUCUUUGAGAGACAUCCCUUGGGAAAAAUAUCCAGAAAUAGUAUUUGAAAAGCAAUUGACAAUAAUCUAAAAGGUCAUCAAAGAGUUCCCGUUGUGGUGCAGUGGUUAACGAAUCCGACUAGGAACCAUGAGGUUGCUGGUUCGAUCCCUGGUCUCGCUCCGUGGGUUGAGGAUCUGGCGCUGCCGUGAGCUGUGGUGUAGGUUGAAGACACGGCUCGGAUCCCGAGUUGCUGUGGCUCUGGCGUAGACCGGUGGCUACAGCUCUGAUUAGACUCCUAGCCUGGGAAUCUCCAUAUGCCGCAGCAGCAGCCCUAGAAAAGGCAAAAAGACAAGAAAAAUUUUUUAAAAAUAAAAUAAAAGGUCAUUGAGAUGGUCAUAUCCUUUAACUCAGUUAUCAUGUUUCUGGAAAUGUUUUCCGAUUCAGUAAGGCAUGAGGAGACUUUUAUUCUAGGGAGGAGUCAGACAUACCUGAGUCCAAAGUAGCUGGAGUUGAUGGAGGGUGAGAGAAAGGAGGCAGUACGCCUAAGGGCUUGCCCCGUGCCAGGCCCUUUAUAAGAAGUAUAUACAUGUCGUGAAAUUUAAUCAUUACAAAGCCAUUUGGAGUAGGUAUCAUUAUCCCCACUUUUUACCUGAGACCCAAGGAUCAGAGUUUGGGAGGAUUUCCUGUGGUUGCAUGCCCAGCAGUUGGCAGGCCUGGGAUUCACACCUGGUCCACUUGUUUCCUAAGACCGACACGGUUUCCACCACCCAUGCACUUUUAAGAUAGGUGUGGAAGUGUAGAAAGUGUCCAGCGGGCCCUUAGCAUAUAUGAUUUCUGCCUGCAUCUGAGUAGGCGCCGAGGAGACAGCUGAAGCCGACAGUGAUGCAGUGUGCUCCUCAGACGCAGGCCCACCCCUCCCUUGUCCCCCCUUUCUCCCGCUCUCCUCCCAGAGCUUCCUGGGCAUCAGUCUGACUCCUUUCCUUCCCCUGCCCUCUUCCCUCUCACGUUCCUGGAGCUCCUGGGACCCCGAGUCCCUUCUCACUGUUCCCUUGUUCUGCACCCGAGCACCUGCCCAGUACAGGCUUUCACCCUGCCUGACGGCUAGCACCCCAGGGACAGGCAUGUGUCAACACCCAGGCCAUUUGGGUAAGGCAAAGCAAGAAAGGCCCUGGGGGGAGUAGGUGCAGCAUAAACCAACCUGACUAGGAUCCAUGAAGACGCCGAUUCAAUCUCUGGCCUCACUCAGUGGGGUAAGGAUCAGACAUCGAUGUGAGCUGUGGUAUAGGUUGCAUGAGCUGUGGUGUAGGUUGCAGGCUCGGCUUGGAUCUGGCAUGGCUGUGGCUGUGGUGUAGGCCAGCGGUUACAGCUCCGAUUGGACCCCUAGCCUGGGAACCUCCAUACGCCAUGGGUGUGGCUCUAAAAGGAUUAAAAGGAAGGGAGGAAGAAAGGAAGGAAGGGCGAGGGCAUGAGACUCUGGGUGACCUUAGGACCCUUGGCACUUAACAAAUGGGGUUGUGAGUGUGUGAACAUGUAUGUGUGUGCACGUUAAGGACUCUGAGUUACUGUAGGCUGGGUGUGUGGUUCAGUAAAUAUGAGAAUCAGUGUGUAUGUGGUCACAUGCACAUGUAUCUUUCUGCUUGUGUCUAUGUGUGUAUUGGGGAUGCCUUUUUAUGAAUAUUAGUAUGUAUAAGCAUCUUUGUAUUUGUUGUCAUGUAGGUAUGAUAAUUAAGCUGUAGGGAGUGUCUUUUGUUUCUGAGAAUGAAAGGAUUGUCUGCAUAUAUAUAUUUAUAUAUGUACACAUAUGCACUUGUAUAUGUAUAUAUAUAUAUAUAUAUAUAUACAUAUGUACAUAAUACAUACACAUAUACAUGGAGUUCCCAUUGUGGCUCAGUGAAAACGAAUCUGACUAGUGUCCAUGAGGACGCAAGUUUGAUCCCUGGCCUCACUCAGUGGGUUAAGGAUCUGGCAUUGCCUUGAGCUGUGGUGUAGGUCGCAGAUGCGGCUCAGAUCUGGUGUUGCUGUAGCUGUGGUGUAGGCCGGUGGCUGCAGCUCCGAUUG